UACGAAGGGGACUAGCGUUGUUCGGAAUUACUGGGCGUAAAGCGCACGUAGGCGGAUUUGUAAGUCAGGGGUGAAAUCCCGGGGCUCAACCUCGGAACUGCCUUUGAUACUGCAAAUCUCGAGUCCGAUAGAGGUGGGUGGAAUUCCUAGUGUAGAGGUGAAAUCCGUAGAUAUUAGGAAGAACACCGGUGGCGAAGGCGGCCCACUGGAUCGGUACUGACGCUGAGGUGCGAAAGCGUGGGGAGCAAACAGG
rnacentral:rRNA from 1 species